rnacentral:rRNA from 1 species
CGUACAGGUCUCCGUAGGUGAACCUGCGGAGGGAUCAUUACACAAAUAUGAAGGCGGGCUGGAACCUCUCGGGGUUACAGCCUUGCUGAAUUAUUCACCCCUGUCUUUUGCGUACUUCUUGUUUCCUUGGUGGGUUCGCCCACCACUAGGACAAACAUAAACCUUUUGUAAUUGCAAUCAGCGUCAGUAACAAAUUAAUAAUUACAACUUUCAACAACGGAUCUCUUGGUUCUGGCAUCGAUGAAGAACGCAGCGAAAUGCGAUAAGUAGUGUGAAUUGCAGAAUUCAGUGAAUCAUCGAAUCUUUGAACGCACAUUGCGCCCUUUGGUAUUCCAAAGGGCAUGCCUGUUCGAGCGUCAUUUGUACCCUCAAGCUUUGCUUGGUGUUGGGCGUCUUGUCUCUAGCUUUGCUGGAGACUCGCCUUAAAGUAAUUGGCAGCCGGCCUACUGGUUUCGGAGCGCAGCACAAGUCGCACUCUCUAUCAGCAAAGGUCUAGCAUCCAUUAAGCCUUUUUUUCAACUUUUGACCUCGGAUCAGGUAGGGAUACCCGCUGAACUUAAGCAUAUC